UUGUUGGUAAGGUAAAAGCUUACCAAGGCUUCGAUCAGUAGCUGGUCUGAGAGGACGACCAGCCACACUGGGACUGAGACACGGCCCAGACUCCUACGGGAGGCAGCAGUGGGGAAUUUUGGACAAUGGGGGCAACCCUGAUCCAGCCAUGCCGCGUGAGUGAAGAAGGCCUUCGGGUUGUAAAGCUCUUUCAGCCGGAACGAAACGGUUACGGUUAAUACCCGUGACUACUGACGGUACCGGAAAAAGAAGCACCGGCUAACUACGUGCCAGCAGCCGCGGUAAUACGUAGGGUGCGAGCGUUAAUCGGAAUUACUGGGCGUAAAGCGUGCGCAGGUGGUUUUGUAAGUCAGAUGUGAAAGCCCCGGGCUCAACCUGGGAACUGCGUUUGAAACUACAAGACUAGAGUGUGGCAGAGGGGGGUGGAAUUCCGCGUGUAGCAGUGAAAUGCGUAGAGAUGUGGAGGAACACCGAUGGCGAAGGCAGCCCCCUGGGUCAACACUGACGCUCAGGCACGAAAGCAUGGGGAGCAAACAGGAUUAGAUACCCUGGUAGUCCAUGCCCUAAACGAUGUCAACUAGUUGUCGGGCCUUUACGGGCUUGGUAACGUAGCUAACGCGUGAAGUUGACCGCCUGGGGAGUACGAUCGCAAGAUUAAAACUCAAAUGAAUUGACGGGGACCCGCACAAGCGGUGGAUUAUGUGGAUUAAUUCGAUGCAACGCGAAAAACCUUACCUACCCUUGACAUGUAUCGAAGCCCGCAGAAAAGCGGGGGUGCCCGAAAGGGAACGAUAACACAGGUGCUGCAUGGCUGUCGUCAGCUCGUGUCGUGAGAUGUUGGGUUAAGUCCCGCAACGAGCGCAACCCUUGUCAUUAAUUGCCAUCAUUUAGUUGGGCACUUUAAUGAGACUGCCGG
rnacentral:rRNA from 1 species